AUACAGAGGUCUCAAGCGUUGUUCGGAUUCAUUGGGCGUAAAGGGUGCGUAGGCUGUAUGGUAAGUCAGAUGUGAAAUUUUAGGGCUCAACCCUGAAACUGCAUCCGAUACUGCCGUGCUAGAGGAUUGGAGAGGAGAUUGGAAUUCAUGGUGCAGCAGUGAAAUGCGUAGAUAUCAUGAGGAAGACCAGUGGCGAAGGCGAAUCUCUGGACAAAUCCUGACGCUGAGGCACGAAGGCUAGGGUAGCGAACGGGAUUAGAAACCCCAGUAGUCC
rnacentral:rRNA from 1 species